UUCCGGUUGAUCCCGCCGGAGGCCACUGCUAUCGGGGUUCGAUUAAGCCAUGCGAGUCGAGAGGUGCAAGACCUCGGCGCACUGCUCAGUAACACGUGGAUAACCUACCCUCAGGUGGGGGAUAACCCCGGGAAACUGGGGAUAAUACCCCAUAGACCAGGGACGCUGGAAUGCCCCCUGAUCGAAAGGUCCGCCGCCUGAGGAUGGGUCUGCGGCCGAUUAGGUUGUUGUUGGGGUAACGGCCCAACAAGCCUUUGAUCGGUACGGGUUGUGAGAGCAAGAGCCCGGAGAUGGAUUCUGAGACACAAAUCCAGGCCCUACGGGGCGCAGCAGGCGCGAAAACUUUACAAUGCGAGAAAUCGUGAUAAGGGAACCCCGAGUGCCCGUAAAUUCGGGCUGUCCAUCAGCGUAAAAAACUGGUGAAGAAAGGGCCGGGCAAGACCGGUGCCAGCCGCCGCGGUAAUACCGGCGGCUCGAGUGGUGGCCACUAUUACUGGGCUUAAAGCGUCCGUAGCUGGAUUGUUAAGUCUCUUGGGAAAUCCGCCGGCUUAACCGGCGGGCGUUCAGGAGAAACUGGCAAUCUAGGGACCGGGAGAGGUGAGAGGUACUCCAGGGGUAGGAGUGAAAUCCUGUAAUCCUUGGGGGGACCACCUGUGGCGAAGGCGUCUCACUAGAACGGCUCCGACAGUGAGGGACGAAAGCUGGGGGGAGCAAACCGGAUUAGAUACCCGGGUAGUCCCAGCUGUAAACGAUGCGCGUUAGGUGUAUCGGUGACCACGAGUCAUCGAGGUGCCGAAUGGAAACCGUGAAACGUGCCGCCUGGGAAGUACGGUCGCAAGGCUGAAACUUAAAGGAAUUGGCGGGGGAGCACA
rnacentral:rRNA from 1 species